CAUGGAUUAUAUGCCUGAGUGUUGGUAGUACUCCUUGUUUACAGGGAAAGGUGGUUGAUUGCAACUAUAUUCGGGGUCCCAAGUAUUUAGAAAUUGAUGUUGAUAUUGGUUUUUCUACUGUUGCUAAUGGAGUUUUGGGUCUGGUUAUUGGUGUGAUUACAACAUUGGUGGUUGAUAUGGCUUUUCUUGUACAGGUGAGCUUGAUAUACUAGUAAUUAACAUUUAAACAAGUCAUGGGAUUAAGUGGCAGCAAUUGGGCUAGAGCUAUUUUGUUGCAUUCAGUGUGGAAACUUUCAUGUUCAUAUUGCACAAGCAUAAUGGCUUUGAUUUCACAUUUGCUAGUCGUACUUGAUUUUAGUUGAAAUCACUUAGGGUAGGUUGUAGGUCUUCAAUAUUUCAGAUUGUGGAGACCUGCUAAAUGACAUGACAACAAAUCUGUUACUUUCUUACGAAUUGUGUUAAAUUUCAUUACCUGUUUUUCCUCCAACUGCUAGGAAUUAUAAAUACUCUAUGAAGCUGAGCUAGCUAUGCGUAACAAAAACAUUUUUUCCAAAGUAACAAUAUCUUGCUCUGCUGUGUGUGUUUUGAAGAUUCACUGCAUGCUGCUGCUUUUAUGCUUGCACUUUUGUAUUUGGGAAUGGUAUGUAUAUUCUGAAAUUGAGUGCCCUUGAUUUAGCUAAAAAAAAGUUUCACAGGUGGUGAUUCUAUUAUGUAGAUGAAGUCUUCUAUUAAAAUUAAAAUUUUGUAAAUCUUUAAGCACUAAAUGAUAUGAUGGAUAGCCAACUUUGUAGUGAAAGUGUGAAUUUGGUUGUUAAUUGAGUUGAGGUCGCGUUGUAUUGUGUCCAAGAAGUGUCCAUUAGUUUACCUAAUAUGUAUGGGAGAGAUGGAUAGUGGAGCUGAUGAAUUGCCCGAGAGGCUUAUUGGAGCUGUCGUAUUUCUCAUAUGCAGAUGUACCAUUUUUUUUCCACUGUGAUUUAGGUUCAUUGUUUUAUAAUUGGGUUCUUCUAUGAAAUCUUAAAAGGAAAUUCUUCUUUCCUUUUCCCCCUUUCUUGGUUUUUUUUUGUAGCUCAUUUAAGUGUUAAGCUGAUAGGAUCUGUAUUUUGUCAAUGUAUUCAUAUUCGGAUAUAUUUCAUCUGAUUAUGAAGUAUUGUCAUAUAGUUCUAAAAAUUUUUUUUGUAACUCCCAGUAAGUUAGAAGAAAAAGGGAAAGUUUUCGGUCAUUUCAUCCCGUCAUGGAAUUUGCUCGUGUAAUAAUGUACAUAGUUUCUCCUUCAUGACAUCUCUCAUCACCAAAGAUUGUAUCUACAUUUUGUAGUAAUGCAGUUUCUUUCUCAUU